GCCCUCGUAGUUAAAUGGAUUAUAACAGUCCCGUCCUAAGGGAUAGUUGGGGGUUCGAUUCCCUCCGAGGGCACCA
rnacentral:tRNA from 3 species